rnacentral:rRNA from 1 species
UACGUAGGGUGCGAGCGUUAAUCGGAAUUACUGGGCGUAAAGCGUGCGCAGGCGGUUGUGCAAGACAGAUGUGAAAUCCCCGGGCUCAACCCUGGGAAUUGCAUUUGUGACUGCACGGCUAGAGUGUGUCAGAGGGGGGUAGAAUUCCACGUGUGAGCAGUGAAAUGCGUAGAGAUGUGGAGGAAUACCGAUGGCGAAGGCAGCCCCCUGGAUAACACUGACGCUCAUGCACGAAAGCGUGGGGAGC